ACGGGAGGCAGCAGUGGGGAAUAUUGCGCAAUGGGCGAAAGCCUGACGCAGCGACGCCGCGUGCGGGAUGGAGGCCUUCGGGUUGUAAACCGCUUUUAUCGGGGAGCAAGCGAGAGUGAGUGUACCCGUUGAAUAAGCACCGGCUAACUACGUGCCAGCAGCCGCGGUAAUACGUAGGGUGCAAGCGUUAUCCGGAUUUAUUGGGCGUAAAGGGCUCGUAGGCGGUUCGUCGCGUCUGGUGUGAAAGUCCAUCGCUUAACGGUGGAUCUGCGCCGGGUACGGGCGGGCUGGAGUGCGGCAGGGGAGACUGGAAUUCCCGGUGUAACGGUGGAAUGUGUAGAUAUCGGGAAGAACACCAAUGGCGAAGGCAGGUCUCUGGGCCGUUACUGACGCUGAGGAGCGAAAGCGUGGGGAGCGAACAGGAUUAGAUACCCUGGUA
rnacentral:rRNA from 1 species